rnacentral:rRNA from 1 species
GGAUGCGGUCAUACCAGCACUAAAGCACCGGAUUCCAUCAGAACUGCAAAGUUAAGCGUGCUUGGGCGAGAGUAGUACUAGGAUGGGUGACCACUUGGGAAGUACUCGUGUUGCAUUCC